rnacentral:rRNA from 1 species
UACGAAGGGGGCUAGCGUUGCUCGGAAUUAUUGGGCGUAAAGGGUAGGUAGGUGGUCUCAUUUGUCUGGGGUGAAAGCCUUGAGCUUAACUCAAGAAGUGCCCCGGAAACGGUGAGACUCGAGUUCUGGAGAGGGUCGUGGAAUUCCCGGUGUAGCGGUGAAAUGCGUAGAGAUCGGGAGGAACACCAGAGGCGAAGGCGGCGACCUGGACAGAUACUGACACUCAACUACGAAAGCGUGGGGAGCAAACAGG